UACGGAGGAUCCAAGCGUUAUCCGGAAUCAUUGGGUUUAAAGGGUCCGUAGGCGGUUUAGUAAGUCAGUGGUGAAAGCCCAUCGCUCAACGGUGGAACGGCCAUUGAUACUGCCAGACUUGAAUUAUUAGGAAGUAACUAGAAUAUGUAGUGUAGCGGUGAAAUGCUUAGAGAUUACAUGGAAUACCAAUUGCGAAGGCGGUUACUACUAAUGGAUUGACGCUGAUGGACGAAAGCGUGGGUAGCGAACAGG
rnacentral:rRNA from 1 species